rnacentral:rRNA from 1 species
GCGGUAAUACGUAGGGUGCAAGCGUUAAUCGGAAUUACUGGGCGUAAAGCGUGCGCAGGCGGUUUUGUAAGCCAGAUGUGAAAUCCCCGAGCUUAACCUGGGAAUUGCGCUUGUGACUGCAUAGCUAGAGUGUGUCAGAGGGGGGUAGAAUUCCACGUGUAGCAGUGAAAUGCGUAGAGAUGUGGAGGAAUACCAAUGGCGAAGGCAGCCCCCUGGGAUAACACUGACGCUCAUGCACGAAAGCGUGGGGAGCAAACAGGAUUAGAUACCCUGGUAGUCCACGCCCUAAACGAUGCUGACUAGUUGUUCGGGAAUUUAUUCCUGAGUAACGUAGCUAACGCGUGAAGUCAGCCGCCUGGGGAGUACGGUCGCAAGAUUAAAACUCAAAGGAAUUGACGGGGACCCGCACAAGCGGUGGAUGAUGUGGAUUAAUUCGAUGCAACGCGAAAAACCUUACCUACCCUUGACAUGCCACUAACGAAGUAGAGAUACAUUAGGUGCCCGUAAGGGAAAGUGGACACAGGUGCUGCAUGGCUGUCGUCAGCUCGUGUC